rnacentral:lncRNA from 1 species
CGCUACUAAAAAAUAAUUAAAAAAAAAAGAAAAUAAAAUGACAAUGAGUCGACAACAAAGGAAUUGAUAAAAAGAAAAGAUAAUUUCUUUAAUUUUUGGAUUAAGAAACCAAUAAAACUCCAGGAAUUAGCAUUAGUUCAUACACAUAUGUCUUUCAUGGAAAAAAACUCAUUAUUCAAAAAUCAAUUGAAGAACUAAAUAUACAAUAUGAAAUUAGUAUUCACAAAUUUUAAUUAAAUUCCAUACAUAUAUUAUAUACAAAAAUUUCAUAGUCAACAACUAAACUCAAUAUGGGAGAAAGAUCCUAAGUUUCCAUGAGUAUCAAUGAUAAUUUCUUGAAAACUCUACAAAUAAUUUCAAAUGGCUACUAUUGUCAUCAAGAAAAGUAAAGAACCCGAGAAGACCAAUACACUUCCCCUUUCAAUGAAUGAAUCUCUUUUUUUUUCCUCACAUAAUUCUUCUUUUCCUUUUCUUCUCUUCUUUCAAUUUUAUUCAUUACUUCUUUUUUCACCCCGUAGUUAUUAUUUCAUUACAAAAAUAUAGAUCACGUUUUUCACAAAAAUCAAAAUUAUAUUAUCAACGGACUAUUAAAGGAGUAUAAUUGGUCGAAAAGUGCAUGACAAACAUAGUUAAAUUCUUCAUACAUUAUUCUCCACUUGCAUUUAUAACAAAAGAGAAAGAGAAUUUUUUUUCCUUUCCAAAUUACAAAAAAAAUUGACCAAAUUCACAUCAAGGAAACAUUCAAUGGGUUUUUCUUUUAAAUUAUGCAUCAUUCAAAAUUAUAUUUUUUACAGACAGAAACUAUACUACUUGAAGAUCAAAGGAAGAAAUGAGAGGAGAGAAAACAAAAAAGGAGGAGAAAGACAUUACUUUUAGAGGAGAAGCUUCAUGACCAUUUGAGAAGAUGUAAGUCUUAGUAACAUCUAAAUCACCAUCUUUAGCCUUUUGUUUAAGAUGAGGUCACGACUACAAUGACCAAUAGAAAAACUGCAAGAAAAAAUAAUUAAAAUAAUAAUUUAGGAUAUAAAAAAAAUAUGGAACAAGAAAUACAGAAUAACAGUAUACACAAUCAUUUCGGAAGAAACUUUUUAAAAGAUAUCUUCCCAUUGAAAAGGAUCCAUAACCGCUCCAAAAAGAUGGAAAAGCCUU